rnacentral:rRNA from 1 species
UAGUCCACGCCGUAAACGAUGAUAACUAGCCGUUGGGAGACAUUGAUUUCUUGGUGGCGCAGCUAACGCGAUAAGUUAUCCGCCUGGGGAGUACGGCCGCAAGGUUAAAACUCAAAUGAAUUGACGGGGGCCCGCACAAGCGGUGGAGCAUGUGGUUUAAUUCGAUGCAACGCGAAGAACCUUACCAGGUCUUGACAUCCUGAGAAUCCUCUAGAGAUAGAGGAGUGCCUUCGGGAAUUCAGUGACAGGUGCUGCAUGGCUGUCGUCAGCUCGUGUCGUGAGAUGUUGGGUUAAGUCCCGUAACGAGCGCAACCCUUGUCCUUAGUUGCCAGCACGUAAUGGUGGAACUCUAAGGNGACUGCCGGUGACAAACCGGAGGAAGGUGGGGACGACGUCAAGGUCAUCAUGGGCCCUUACGACCUGGGGCUACACACGUGCUACAAUGGGCAAGUACAAAGGGGCUGCAACCCUGCGAAGGGUGAGCGAAUCCCAUAAAACUUGUACGUAGUCCGGGAUU